UACGAAGGGGGCUAGCGUUGUUCGGAAUUACUGGGCGUAAAGCGCACGUAGGCGGAUAUUUAAGUCAGGGGUGAAAUCCCUCGGCUCAACUGAGGAACUGCCUUUGAAACUGAGGAGCUUGAGUCCGGGAGGGGGUAGCGGAAUUCCCAGUGUAGCGGUGAAAUGCGUAGAUAUUGGGAGGAACACCAGUGGCGAAGGCGGCUACCUGGACCGGAACUGACGCUGAGGCGCGAAAGCGUGGGUAGCAAACAGG
rnacentral:rRNA from 1 species